UCUCUGGUAGUAUAUCGGAUAGUACACCCGCCUGUCAUGCGACCGCGGGAGAGCGGGGUUCGACUCCCCGCCAGAGAG